AAAAAUCAUAGCAUCUGGCUGCGACAUCUGUCACUCCAUUAAUUGCCAGGGUUGACGCGGCUGAUCUGGCUGGCUAGGUGGGCGUCCCCUUCCUCCCUCACCGCUCCAUGUGCGUCCCUCCUGAAGUUGCGUGCUCAGUUGAAGACACAGACCUUCCAGGAUAGAGGGAGGACUGGACCAUCCUUCGGUCAAGGGCAUAUGAGUGGCUGCACUCCCCUGCUAGAAACUCAAACCAGUCUCAAGAACAAAGCAACUUGUGGAUUAAAAAAAAAGAGGAACUCAAAAGUUAGAAUAAUAUUCUGAAAAGUGUUUUA
rnacentral:snRNA from 1 species